rfam:Ovis aries breed Texel chromosome 11, whole genome shotgun sequence.
CGUGCCUGGGGAUCUUGUUAAAAGGCAGACUCUGAUUCUGUAGUUAUGGGUAGGAGAUUCUACAUUUCUAACAAGCUCCCAAGUGAAGCCAG